UUGUAUCCUCUUAAAACUCACUUAUUUCAGCCUUCAAACUUUCCCGCAGUUGGUUUACGGUACGUUCUUUCCUGAGCCUUCCGUGAGCAGCCCGAGAGGAUCAUGGGAGACUGAGUUCAAUUCAGAUAAUAAUCAAUCGAAUUUAGUUUAAGAAAUUCAGCAUAAUCUUAUUCAAUAUAUAUAAAGAUUGAUCAAAGACAAAAUCAAAGCUUUUUACCAACAUUGAAAUAUCAAUAGAACAUAAUAUAAGAUUAGUAACAUUUGUAGGCAAAACAAGACCCACAUGACAACCACUUGGUGACUAAAUCAUCCUAACACUUACCUGGUCUUUCUCCUUGCUCAUGUUUUAUCCCUUUAUUAACCCUUCAAGUCAGAUUUGUACUACCUAAAUCUGCUACAAACAGCUCAUACAUAAUUAAAAACCUUAAUCCUCAUCCACUGAGAGGAUCUGAAUCGUGCAGAAAGUGACAUUAAAUAAAGACAUUAAGGACUGUACAAACAUCAAACCAGUAUUUGACUUUUAUUUUAUCUAAGUGAACUGAAAAAUAAGAAAUAAGUUAACAUUUGAGUCACAGAUCUGUGUACUUGGGUUUUCAUUUGUGUCCGACAAAGAGUCUGAGGUUUCCAAGCAGCCCAAACACACCAUCCUUCAACAGUGUUUUCAAAUCAGAAGAAUUUAACAAUUUCCAACAGCUUCUUUUCUCCACUCUUCAAAUCAAAUCAAACUUUAUUUAUAUAGCACUUUUCAGGCAAAAAAGAAUAGGUGAAUAAAUAGAAUAAGCAUAACAUGUUAAAUGAGGACUAAAAUAUAUUAAUGAAAUAAGAUAAAAGCAAUUCUGAAAGAUAAGAAGGUCCAAGACCCCAAAGACAUUUAAAAACCAUUAAAAGGACCUUAAAAUCAACCCUAAAGCACACAAGGAGCAAAGGCAGUGAUUUUAAAACCGGUGUAAUAUGUGCCCGCCUUCUGGUCCUCGUCAGCACACGUGCUGCUGAGUUUUGCAACAGUUGUUAACUUGCAAUGUUUCUUUUUGGAAGACCAGAAAGCAGGGCAUUACAAUAAUCAAGACGACUGGAGAUAAAAGCAUUCAUUAGCGUCUCUGUGUUAGCCCAGGAGAGAAAGGGGCGGACUCUGGCUAUAUUCUUUAAAUGAUAAAACCCUGUUUUUGUUAUAUUUUUAAUAUGUGGGAUAAAAGUCAGCUCAGAGUCAAAGAUGACGCCUAGAUUCUUUAGCUGAUUUGAUGGAAUUAAGGACAGGGUUUUCAGUUUCGUUAAAACUUUCUCUCCCUGAGCCUUAGGAUGGAUAAUUAAAACCUCAGUUUUGUCCUGGUUGAGCUAUAGGAAGUUUUCUGCCAUCCAGGAUUUAAUGUCAGCUAAAAAGGGCAUCAAUUGGCCCUUUGUCAUCAGGAGACAUGGAUAUGUAUAGCUGUGAAAAGUGAUACCAUGCCUCCUGAUGACAUCUCCCAGUGGGAGCAUACAUAAAUUAAAAUAUCAUUAACAUGUUUCAGUAGUGCAGUCUCUGUACUGUGGUUCGUCCUAAAUCCAGAUUGAAAUUUCUCCAGGAUGGAACGGUUAUUUAAAAUAUUAUUCAACUGAACAAAAAAAUGUUUUUCUAACAUUUUGCUUAAAAAUGGUAAGGUGGACACUGGUCUGUAGUCAUUAAGAACAUUAGGAUCCAAAUUGUUCUUCUUCAGAAGGGGUCUUACUACAGCUGUUCUAAGGGCAGCAGGGAAAGAGCCCGUUUGAAGAGAACAAUUCACUAUAUUUAAAAGCUCACCUUCAAAGAAUCCAUAAAACAUUUUAAAAAGUAAUGUGGGAAUUGGGUCUACAAGGCAGGUUGUUGGUUUUACUUGGAAGAAAACUCUACCAAGCAUCUCAGCAUCAACCAGGACAAAACUGUCCAGUGUUUCCUCAUGUAAAAACAAGCUUUCCACUGUAUUAGAAACAGUGUUUUGAAUAGAUAAAAUAGAGGAUUGUAUAAAAUUAAUUUUACCCCUGAAGUGGUCUGCAAAACCUUUGCAUAGUGUGUCUGAAGGAGUGAUUUGAUAUCUGUUAAAAAACGUGGUUUGACUUCCUGUCACCACCAGAAGUUCCAGUGGUGACAGGAAGUAAAUUUGUGUCAUUUGUGUUUCUAGCAUGGUCAAGAGUGUUUAAUUAAAAAAUUGAGCCUUGGGGGAUUAAUUAAAAAAUGACCCCCAUCCCGUGGGUCACGUGAUUCCUGCGGGAAUCACG
rnacentral:lncRNA from 1 species